rnacentral:rRNA from 1 species
AUGGAUCAUGAAUUCCUAGAAGGGUUCAAACCCGUAAACAUCGAAUCAUACGAUGGCACAACAGACCGCGCAGUAUGGAUCGAAGAUUUCCUUCUCCACAUUCACAUGGCCCACGGAGAUGAUCUACACACCAUCAAGUAUCUCCCCCUUAAGCUCAAAGGACCAGCCCGACACUGGUUAAACAGCCUGCCAGCAAAUUCCAUUGGCAGUUGGGAAAACCUGGAAGAUGCAUUCCUUGACAACUUCCAGGGCACAUAUGUGCGACCACCGGACGCUGAUGACUUGAGCCACAUUACUCAACAGCCCGGAGAGUCAGCCCGGAAAUUCUGGACUCGGUUCCUCACUAAAAAGAACCAAAUAGUCGACUGUCCGGACGCCGAAGCCCUGGCGGCUUUUAAGCAUAAUAUCCGUGACGAGUGGCUCGCUCGACACCUCGGCCAGGAAAAACCCAAGUCUAUGGCAGCUCUCACAACUCUAAUGACCCGUUUUUGUGCGGGUGAGGAUAGCUGGUUGGCUCGUAGCGGCACCACGCCACAUUCCGGCACUCCGAACGGUCGCGAUGCUAAUGGCAAGCCAUGGCGCAACAGACAUAAGAGACGGAACAACGGCGACAGCACGGAAGACACGACAGUCAAUGCCGGAUUCAACGGACCUAAAUCCGGAUAG